UUUGCUGUUAUGAGACGUAAACAUUAGAAAACCAACUGAUCAAUUGGUUCUUCAGUGAAUACUAUUUUAUAUACUUGGCUUCUUAGCUAA
rfam:Triticum urartu cultivar G1812 contig912719, whole genome shotgun sequence.